CAUGUGACUCCUCAUGGGAUUGCCUCAGCGGGCAUGUCGUUUCUGAGAGAUCUCAUUCUCACUAAUCUGAGUCACUGGAUUUAAUGAAAUUGGUGUUUUUCUGAUGCCAUGAUUUCAGAACUGAGAUGGGCUUGGUUGUUUCUUCUUCUCCAUCUCUCAGUCACCAAACCUCUUCUGCUCCACCACUGAGAUGGGUUUUACUGAUUCUCUUUCCGACUCUCAGCCAUCAGACGUCUGGAACAUUUUCAGUGAAGGUUCAGUCUCCAGCCUCAGGGUUCCUUGGUUCCUCUGUGUCUCUACACUGUGCUCUUGUAAACAACAUGGAUGCUCGAAACCUGGAAGUGAGCUGGUACCGUCCCAAAAUGCAAAACACCCCGAUCCUGUCCUACAAGAACACACAGAUCCAGAGUCCUGUAGAUGUUCAGUACCAGCGCAGAGUGUUCCUGUUAGGAGAACUGGAGAAAGGAGAUGUCUCUCUGAAGCUGGGAGAACCUGACGCUAGCAGAUAGGUAGA
ensembl:lncRNA